AAGGCCUAAACAAACCCUAAUUUAAAACAGACUAAUCACAUUUUUUUUAAAAACCUAAAGUAAAGAAAUCAUCCGCGCCGCUCUGUAGACCGUCUGUUUAGAACCCCGAACACUCGCCUGGCUCCGAUUGCGACAGAGUAAACGACGUUCAGGUAACAGCGUUUUCUUUUCAUUUGCUGCUGUUUGUUGCUCUGCUGGCGUCGUUCGUGGUUUGUUGCAAGUAAAGCCUGGAAGAAAGACGCGCAUGGCGCGUGCAGAGGGCGAUAACUGCUGGCACACGCGCGCGGAAGGGCCUGGUGGUUGCAGUGCUGGCUGGGGCUGAAUGUUGUUAGGGUUUGGUUCUAUUUUUUGGUGUAAUAAGCUUAGGGUUAGUGGUUUGGGUCAUUAUAGUUGGGUCAAAUCGGGUUAGUUUUGGGUAGUUUAAAAUGUUUUGGGCUAUGUAUUUGGGUAUGGGUUUUAGGCUAAUACUGGACUACUAUUAUUUUUAUUUUAUUCUGGUUUAUUAUUGAUUAGGCCCAGGUUUUAUUGGAUUUGUAAUUGUAUUUGGUUUUUUAGUGUUUGGGCCAGGCAAAAUUUGGGUAUUACAAUUAUUAUAGUCCAAUUUACUACAUCAACGUCAAAGAUUAUAUCUUUCGAAUUUA